rnacentral:lncRNA from 1 species
UUUAUGGGAAAACAAGCGGCGGCGGAGCCGGGCGGCCGCGGCGGAGCGUCGUGCCGUGCCGUUCCGUUCCGUUCCGUGCCGUGCCCUACCGGACCGGGCCGUGCUGGAUCGGGCGGAGCCGGGCCGGGCCAUGGCCACCGCGGAGGCGGCAGCCCGAGCCUAGUGCGCCGGCGGUGGCGGGGAUGCGGCGGGGGGGCCGCCGGGGCGGCGGACGCGGAGCAGAGCUGGGAUGGAGCUGCUGCAGAGCCCUCGGCCAGGUCACCCCACACGCCCCCUCCCUGCUGCCGCCAGACCAGUCUCAGAGGCACUGGGAUCCCCAUCUCCUCCUGGCAUCAAGAUCUCCCCAGCCUACCCUAUGGACAGACACGCCAGCCCCACUGGCUUCACCUCAGCUCCAGCAUCUGCCCCCCUGCUGUGGACUGAGACAGGGCUUUAUCUGGGUGGUGAGGGGGGACCCAAGCCCCCCCUCCCCAUCUCUGCAUAGUCCAUACUGCUGCUCACCGAAUAAAGUCUCUUCCUUUUCUCCCAGAAACACAGUCCUGUGGUCCUCUGCUGCUGUUCAAAGACAAAUGCCUUUUGCUGGCCUUUACUGUGCACCUUUAGAGCCUUGUGGAGCGGCUGGUGCCCGCCUUCGCCAAACCCUCAUAGAAUGUAAUAAGCAUUAAAGCCAGCCGGAUGUCUCUGCCAUGGGCAAAGCUGAUGGCACAUCCAUUUGGUGCCAGUCACUCGGGGGGGCUUGUGCUCAUGUUCCCCUUGGUCACACAGCGGGGUCACAUGUGGCGGGGCUCUGCUCACCCCAGCAGCAUUGUCCGGGAGCAGGUGGGUGCGUGGUGCUGGUGCACGGUGAGUGUUAGACCCCACAUCUCACAGGAGGUGCAGCUGCCAUCCCACCUCUCCAGCCCUGGAGACAUGUCAUGGCCACAGGAUACAAAAGAAGACAAAGCUGGUGGGCGCUGAUCCAGCACAGCCCCUCAGAGCGGGGUUAUUGCAGAGGAACCCUGGUCUGUGCUGCUCAGAGCUGUGGGGAGCAAUGGAGGAGUCGCUGGUGGCACGUGGGGUUGGGGCAGCCAACACAGCACCCCUCUACCAGGCCCUGGUGCCACCCGUGCCGGAAUGGAUGAGGCCCAGGGAGUGAUGUGGCUGCAAGCAGUGGGACUGAAGACCUCUGCUAUGAGAGAGCAGAGAGACAGGCUGAGAGCUGGGCUGGUUCAGCCUGGAAAAGAGAAAGAUCCUUAAGGAGAGACCUUAGAGCAGCUCCAGUGCCUAAAGGGGCUACAGGAAAUCUGGAGAGGGGCUUUGGACAAGGGCCUGUAGGGACAGGGCAAGGGGAAUGGCUUUAACCUGCCAGAGGGGAGAUUGAGAUGAGCUCUUAGGCAGAAGUUCUUCCCUGUGAGGGUGCUGAGGCGCUGGCACAGGAUGCCCAGAGAAGCUGUGGCUGCCUCAUCCCUGGCAGUGUUCAAGGCCAGGUUGGACACAGGAGCUUGGAGCAACCUGCUCUAGUGGAAGGUGCUGGAACUAGCUG